rnacentral:rRNA from 1 species
UACGUAGGCAGCGAGCGUUGUUCGGAGUUACUGGGCGUAAAGAGUGCGUAGGCGGUCGGCCGUGUCUGGUGUGAAAUCUCCCGGCUUAACUGGGAGGGUGCGCCGGAAACUGGCUGGCUUGAGUGUGGGAGAGGAAAGCGGAAUUCCUGGUGUAGCGGUGAAAUGCGUAGAUAUCAGGAGGAACACCUGCGGUGUAGACGGCUUUCUGGACCACGACUGACGCUGAGGCACGAAAGCGUGGGGAG